UACAGAGGGUGCGAGCGUUGUCCGGAAUCACUGGGCGUAAAGGGCGCGUAGGCGGCUCAGUCAGCGUGCGGUGAAAGCCCGGGGCUCAACCCCGGGUCGGCCGUGCGAACUGCUGAGCUGGAGCACUGUAGAGGCAGGUGGAAUUCCGGGUGUAGCGGUGGAAUGCGUAGAGAUCCGGAAGAACACCGGUGGCGAAGGCGGCCUGCUGGGCAGUGACCGAGAGGUCUUAAAGCUGACGCUGAGGC
rnacentral:rRNA from 1 species